GGAGAGAUGGCCGAGCGGUUCAAGGCAGCCGUCUUGAAAACGGCCGUAGUUGCAAGCCUGCCGUGGGUUCGACCGGCUUCAUCGGAACAGCCGCAGGCUGGUCAUCCCACCCUCUCGG
rnacentral:tRNA from 1 species